UACGGAGGGUGCGAGCGUUGUCCGGAAUCACUGGGCGUAAAGGGCGCGUAGGCGGCUUGGUAAGUAGGGGGUGAAAUCCUGCGGCUUAACCGCAGGGCUGCCUUCUAAACUGCCAGGCUUGAGCACAGUAGAGGCAGGUGGAAUUCCCGGUGUAGCGGUGGAGUGCGUAGAGAUCGGGAAGAACAUCGGUGGCGAAGGCGGCCUGCUGGGCUGUUGCUGACGCUGAGGCGCGACAGCGUGGGGAGCAAACAGG
rnacentral:rRNA from 1 species